GACGAACGCUGGCGGCGUGCUUAACACAUGCAAGUCGAACGGAAAGGCCCUGCUUUUGUGGGGUGCUCGAGUGGCGAACGGGUGAGUAACACGGGAGUAACCUGCCCUUGACAUUGGGAUAACUUCAGGAAACUGGGGCUAAUACCGGAUAGGAGCUCCUGCUGCAUGGUGGGGGUUGGAAAGUUUCGGCGGUUGGGGAUGGACUCGCGGCUUAUCAGCUUGUUGGUGGGGUAGUGGCUUACCAAGGCUUUGACGGGUAGCCGGCCUGAGAGGGUGACCGGCCCCAUUGCGACUGCGAUACGGCCCAGACUCCUACGGGAGGCAGCAGUGGGGAAUAUUGCACCAUGGGCGGAAGCCUUAUGCAGCACCGCCGCGUGCGGGAUGACGGCCUUCGCGUUGUAAACCGCUUUCGCCUGUGUCGAAGCGUGAGUGACGGUAAUGGGUAAAGAAGCACCGGCUAACUACGUG
rnacentral:rRNA from 1 species